AGCUGGUUCCCUCCGAAGUUUCCCUCAGGAUAGCUGGAGCCCAUUACGAGUUCUAUCAGGUAAAGCCAAUGAUUAGAGGCAUUGGGGACGCAACGUCCGUGACCUAUUCUCAAACUUUAAAUAGGUAGGAUGGCUCGGCUGCUUCGGUGAGCCGUGCCACGGAAUCGGGUGCUCCAAGUGGGCCAUUUUUGGUAAGCAGAACUGGCGAUGCGGGAUGAACCGGAAGCCGGGUUACG
rnacentral:ncRNA from 1 species